GCAGGGGUUUGGAUUUAUGCAGGCCUGCCCUGGGUCUCUCACAGUGUCCCAUGCCAGAGCGAACUACACCCCCAAACCACUGCCUGGCCUCUGUGUCCACAGGCUGCUGGCACUGAAGUUGGCUGCACAGUG